rnacentral:misc_RNA from 1 species
GUUGAAGACAUCCGACCCUGAUACAUUCGUAACAUCUUUCCACACUUUGGAGUGUCCUUUGAGUCCCUGGGUUUUCGACAAUCUUGAGAAGAAGUACACUGAUGAAACAACUGGACCAAGAUACGAAAGGCGGCUACUGUUUGACCGUAUAAACCUGGGUCUACUGGAGAUUGUUAGGAAGUAUGUGGAUCCUUGCCCUUGGGUGAAGCCAAUAGAGGGUAUUAUCUGGAGAUGGGAGACUUAUGGGAUGAAAAACAUUCUGCAUCAACUGCUGAGAAGCCACGAAGAUCCUGCAAACGCAGACACACCUGGUAACGUUGUGGAAGAGAUGCAUUGGCUAGCAAUCAAGGAUGAAAUGGAUGUGGCAGUUAAGGACAUUGAAGAAUUGUUGAUAGAUGACCUCAUAGAAGAAGUUGUAGGUGCAGUCUAGGUGGUAGUUCAUACUCGACGAUAACGAAA